rnacentral:rRNA from 1 species
UACGUAGGGGGGCAAGCGUUGUCCGGAAUUAUUGGGCGUAAAGAGCGCGUAGGCGGUCCGGUAAGUCGGUUUGUGAAAGUCGGGGGGGCUCAACCCUCGGAUGCCGAUCGAUACUGUCGGGCUAGAGUCCGGAAAGAGGCGAGUGGAAUUCCUGGUGUAGCGGUGAAAUGCGCAGAUAUCAGGAAGAACACCAAUGGCGAAAAGCAGCUUUCUGGGACGGUACUGACGCUGAGACGCGAAAAGCGUGGGGGAGCGAAACAGG